UUCUGUCUUUACAGGUAAGCUGGGUGGUUGAUAAUAUAAAACAGAUGUUAUAAAAGUGACAGACAGCAGUGGCGAUUAAUGAUAAAUGUCUUGUUUGUGGCGAAUGUUAAGCUAGAGAGCUAAUUUCCAAGUUGGUCCAGUUGUUAGACUGUACCGAAAGUCUGUAAUUUCCAUACAGGCAUUUUGGGGGUUAAAGCCACAAGAUAUAUGUUUUGCACAAUAAGAAAAAAUGUAAAUUGCUGGAUGUUUAGUUAGUGAAGAGUGAAUGUUGAAUAAAUACAGCUAAUAAGCCAGGUUCAUAAAUAGAUUAAAACAGUAGUAAAAACAAGAUAAAACUGUAAUGAGAGUUCACCAUGGUGCUUGUGCAUACAGUAAGAUGUAUUUCUGUGAUCUAAGCAGUUUAUAAAAUUGGUGCAUGUGAAUAUUAAACUGUAUACUUGUACUUGUAUUACUUGUAUAAAGUAAUGUUAGCUACACUAGAAGAAGUAGUGUAGGUAGCGUACGGCCCGCGCGCCGAAAGAACUGAUUAAUGUCACAUUUUUCUGUCUUUACAGUUUUCUGUAAAAAUAAAUAUGUUGCACGGGAGAUGAGUUGGCCGAUCAUUUCAGCAGUGUAACAUAUUGAUGCAAAUAUGUAAUGUACAUAAAAGAGGGAAGACUGCUGCAGAGUCUCAGAGCGACAAUGGAGAAAGUCCUGUCACCUCUAGAUUUUAAAUGGGAGGGUGGAACCAAUAAAAGCAUCUGACUGGAGGAACGCAGAGCUCGAGUGGGCUGAUAAGGUGAUUUCGCUUCAGCUCUUAAACUCCUGACAGACUGCUGAGAGUGGAGGGUUUGUCCAGUUAGAACUGAUUUCCUGCUGAUAAAUCCAGAGCAUGAACUCCUGCAUAAAUCACUGAUGAGGUAACAUCAAGGCCGUGUCCAGGUCAGGCUGACCUUGUCCAUCCAUUCUGCCAGGACUGCAACCCUCUGUCAUUCCUGCUUUGUCUCCACUAAUGAAGGCAUUUUAAUGAGGAACUAAAACUUUAAAUCUAUGAUCUGAUAAACAGAGGGGAUCACCCACAGUCUGGCUCAAUCUGGGCCUCCAAACGUCUGACUGGUGGCCCGAAUCCUCACCACUAUGCAAAGUGAGAGGUCAUGUUCAAUUUAAGAGGCAAAUAAGCAGAGAGCAGCUUCAGACAUCACUGCUUCUCAUUUAAAA